UGGGGAAUAUUGCACAAUGGGCGCAAGCCUGAUGCAGCCAUGCCGCGUGUGUGAAGAAGGCCUUCGGGAUGUAAAGCACUUUCAGCGGGGAGGAAGGCGAUAAGGUUAAUAACCUUGUCGAUUGACGCUACCCGCAGAAGAAGCACCGGCUAACUCCGUGCCAGCAGCCGCGGUAAUACGGAGGGUGCAAGCGUUAAUCGGAAUUACUGGGCGUAAAGCGCACGCAGGCGGUUGAUUGAGUCAGAUGUGAAAUCCCCGGGCUUAACCCGGGAAUUGCAUCUGAUACUGGUCAGCUAGAGUCUUGUAGAGGGGGGGAGAAUUCCAUGUGUAGCGGUGAAAUGCGUAGAGAUGUGGAGGAAUACCGGUGGGGAAGGCGGCCCCCUGGACAAAGACUGACGCUCAGGUGCGAAAGCGUGGGGAGCAAACAGG
rnacentral:rRNA from 1 species